CAAACCUCCGCAACUGUAGAAACUUCGGAUUCUCGAACUCCACACAGAGACAGAAUUCUACAAGACGAACAGAGAGAAAAACAGACAAACAGAUAUAUGAAGAAUCGAAAAAUCGAAGAACCUUGAAGCCUGUAAAGACAAAUGCGACAUUUGAUGACUGAGACCUUUUUCCGGCAGUGGUGCGGUGGCUGCCUCUCGUCCUACGGCGGUUUGUCCGUCGGCGGCGCCAUGGGCACUUGGUUUGGCUGUGAGAUUCAGUCGAAGGUAUCGAUCAUGGCGUUAUUGAACCCCCUUGAACUUGCAGAGUACGAAUCUGAUACUGCUCGAUCAUACUUGUCCGUAAAUCCCACUGUUUCAAGUGUUGCUGAAAACACCACUCUUUUUAUAUUAAUACUGAUUAUCCCAAAAUUUAAAUUUUAA